rnacentral:rRNA from 1 species
AUACGAAGGGGGCUAGCGUUGUUCGGAAUUACUGGGCGUAAAGCGCGCGUAGGCGGAUUGGUCAGUUAGGGGUGAAAUCCCAGGGCUUAACCCUGGAACUGCCUCUAAUACUGCCAGUCUUGAGUUCGGGAGAGGUGAGUGGAAUUCCUAGUGUAGAGGUGAAAGUCGUAGAUAUUAGGAAGAACACCAGUGGCGAAGGCGGCUCACUGGCCCGAUACUGACGCUGAGGCCCGAAAGCGUGGGGAGCAAACAGGAUUAGAUACCCUAGUAGUCC